AAUUAGUAUAUAUUUUAUAUUAUGUACAUAUUGUGUAGUAGUAAUUAGUAAAUAUUAUAUAUUAUGUAUAUAUUAUUAUCCAAAAUGGCAUAUCUUUCUUAGUCUUCCUAACCCCAAUGGAAUGAGCACAACAAGGUACUAAUACCACCAUUAAAAGGAAAAAAAACUAAAAGAAGAUGUGCCAAUGGUGGUACUAGUAAUUAGUAUA
rnacentral:lncRNA from 1 species